rnacentral:lncRNA from 1 species
CGCACGUAACUAAAAGAAGAAAAGGAACCGUUCCAUUCGCGAGCGCCAUUGACUGUGGAAGACUCAAGCUCGCAUCGAAGUAGCCUUCAUUCAUAUGGAGCAUAUGAACGUCUGCGAAAGAUUGUUUGUGGAGCGAGUGGGGAAAAAAAGGGUUUUUUACGAAGCUGUGUCUAACAACAAGCAGCGCAAAAGAAGCUCCAUCCAACAAAUAUGAUCUCUGGAAAACAAAUUCACCUCGGACGGGCGAAGCUUGUUACCAAUGGGCUUCAGCUCGGCUCUGCUUUCAUCGCUUCUUUUGUCCCGAAUGGAGUCUGGAUGAAGCUGGAUAAGUCCGAGGAAUGAAUUGUGCUCACGCCACGUGUGAAUAGUUUUAACGUUUUUUUUUUUUUUUUCGUUGACUUAUGACGUUGAGUGCGAAGCGGCUGUUCGAAUAAUAAUCGCUGCACGAGACGCCAUCCAUUCAAUGUGGCCUGCGCUAAUGUUCGCAGGCGCACCGUUCGCGGAGGCCAUGGCAAAAUAAAAUGUUUUGAAACAAA